rnacentral:misc_RNA from 1 species
GAUGAAGAACGUAGCGAAAUGCGAUAAGUAAUGUGAAUUGCAGAAUUUAGUGAAUCAUCGAAUCUUUGAACGCACAUUGCGCCCCUUGGUAUUCCGAGGGGCAUGCCUGUUCGAGCGUCGUCACGCCCCUCAAGCCGUGCCGUGUGUGUGGUUUGGUGUUGGAGCUCGCCAGUCUGGCGGCUCUUAAAGACAGUGGCGGUGCCGGUGUGAGCUCUACGCGUAGUACAAUUCUCGCGACAGAGCUGCAGCGGCUGCUCGCCAAUCAAUCUUUCCUUUUAAGGUUGACCUCGAAUCAGGUAGGGAUACCCGCUGAACUUAAGCAUAUCAAUAAGCGGGAGGA